ACGCUGGCGGGCAGGCCUAACACAUGCAAGUCGAACGGUAGCACAGAGGAGCUUGCUCCUUGGGUGACGAGUGGCGGACGGGUGAGUAAUGUCUGGGAAACUGCCCGAUGGAGGGGGAUAACUACUGGAAACGGUAGCUAAUACCGCAUAACGUCGCAAGACCAAAGAGGGGGACCUUCGGGCCUCUUGCCAUCGGAUGUGCCCAGAUGGGAUUAGCUAGUAGGUGGGGUAACGGCUCACCUAGGCGACGAUCCCUAGCUGGUCUGAGAGGAUGACCAGCCACACUGGAACUGAGACACGGUCCAGACUCCUACGGGAGGCAGCAGUGGGGAAUAUUGCACAAUGGGCGCAAGCCUGAUGCAGCCAUGCCGCGUGUAUGAAGAAGGCCUUCGGGUUGUAAAGUACUUUCAGCGAGGAGGAAGGUGUUGAGGUUAAUAACCUCAGCAAUUGACGUUACUCGCAGAAGAAGCACCGGCUAACUCCGUGCCAGCAGCCGCGGUAAUACGGAGGGUGCAAGCGUUAAUCGGAAUUACUGGGCGUAAAGCGCACGCAGGCGGUCUGUCAAGUCGGAUGUGAAAUCCCCGGGCUCAACCUGGGAACUGCAUCCGAAACUGGCAGGCUAGAGUUCUUGUAGAGGG
rnacentral:rRNA from 1 species